GGAGAUGUAGCUCAGUGGUAAAGCAUUUGUUUAGCAUGCAAGAGGCCCGGGGUUAAAUCUCCAGCAUCUCCA
rnacentral:tRNA from 1 species